rnacentral:rRNA from 1 species
AUGCUGCGAGAGUUCAAGGAGGAGGGGCAGAUCGUACCUCUCCUCGAGCAGCAGGUACGAUCUCCACCUAUUGAUGAUGCGGAGGAGGCCAAGGAAUCUCCUCAAGUGCCCAACAAUGUCUUCUCCGAUCCAGGUCCUUCUACCAGAAGAGAUGUUUCGAUCCGAGGCACAGAGAUUGGGUCCCCAAUCAGUGCUUCACUGGGCGCCAUGAGACCCCUUGUUGGGAAGCUGGAUAUGCUGCUGCAAGCUCCUCUUUUACAAGGAUGCUCCAACUCCAAGAGGGUCAAGAAGCUCAUGGAGGUGAUGCGCCUCCUCAAAGAUGACGUUGAAAAGAUGGACUCCUACCUUGAUCAACUGUCAGAGGUGGACGACCCUCCCAUGGCGGCCAAUUGCUGGAUGAAUGAGGCGCGCAACCUGUCUUACGACAUGGAGGAUUAUAUUGACAGCUUAAUAUUUGCGCAGCCUGAGCAUCCCUCCCUUGUUCCCAACAACAUCAAGACAACCAGAUCCGGCCUCAAAUUCAGAUUCUUCCUCAAAUUCUUCAGUCAUGCCAAGACUACCAAGACUCAGGUUGUUAGUAUUGCGGAAACGCUAUCAGAAUUCAGGAUGUAUGUUCAGGAGGCGAUUGAACGGCACCAGAGAUACAGUCUCCAUUCUUGCAGCACACUGAAGCGGUGGUUUGUGCCCGUUGGCCCUACGGUUCCAGUUUCAGUGCGGUAUGAUGAAGAAGCGGCACACAUUGUAGUCGAUGGUUGGAUGAGUGAGUUUAUCAACUCACUGGGGGAGGAUCAAGAGCAGCAGCGGCAGCAGCAGCUCAAGGUGAUAGCUAUUCUUGGACCUUCAAGUCUCGGUAAAACUACACUUGCCAAACUGUUGUACAGUAGAAUUGGGAAGCAAUACCAUUGUCGAGCUUUCAUUCGGGUGUCCAAGAAACCCGAUAUGAAGAGGAUUUUCCGUGACAUUCUCUCGCAACUCCAGCAUCCGGACCCCCCACAGGAUUUUAAGGAGACUGACCUCAUUGAUAAUAUCAAGAUAUAUCUACGAAACAAAAGGUAUCUGAUUAUUAUUGACGAUCUAUGGGAAACAUCAGUAUGGGAUAUUAUUAGUCAUGCUUUUCCUGAGGGUAGUCGAGGCAGCACAAUAGUAACAACUACACAGAUCGAAGACGUUGCAGUAGCAUGUAGCUGUUAUCAGUCAGGGCAUGUCUUUGAAAUGAAACCUCUGGAUGAUGAACACUCAAGAAAGCUAUUUUUUAACAGACUCUUUGGCUCUGAAAGUGAGUGUCCUGAUGAAUUGAAACAAGUUUGUGAUGAAAUUGCUGAAAUAUGUGAUGGUUUGCCGCUUGCCACAAUCAGCAUAGCUAGUCUUCUACUAUGCCAGCCUGCCAUGUCAAAUGACUUCUUCACAUACAUCCAUCAGUCGUUAAUCUCUUGUUUCUCUGCAGUGCCUACUUCUGAAAGAACUAGACAAGCACUGAAUCUGAGCUACAAUAAUCUUCCUCGUUAUUUGAAGACAUGCCUGCUCUACCUUAAUAUGUAUCCAGAGGGCUACACAUUCUUAAAGGGUGAUUUGGUUAAGCAAUGGGUGGCUGAAGGUCUGAUUUAUACAACAGAAGGGCAAGACAUUGAGAAAGUUGCAGAAAGCUAUUUAUAUCAGCUUAUUGGUAGAAGCUUCAUCCAGCCGAUGUGUGUCAACUACUACAAUGAGGUGUUGUCCUGUCAAGUGCAUGACAUGGUACAUGAUCUUAUUGCACACAAAUCUGCAGAAGAGAAUUUCAUGGUGGCAAUAGACUACAGAUGUCAAAAGAAUGUGUCACUUUCUCAUAAGGCCCGUCGACUCUCGCUCAUAUUUGGUGAUGCGAGAUAUGCCAAGACACCAGCAAACAUCCGAAAAUCGCUAGUUCGGUCAGUUAGAUUCUCUGGAUUGCUUGAGUCUAUGCCUUGUCUUACAGAGUUCAAGCUUGUUCGUGUCCUAAACCUUCAACUAAGUGGUCAAGGCCGCCGUGAUAAUGAUAUGGCAGACCUCACUGGGAUUUCAGAAAUGUUUCAGCUGAGAUAUUUGAAGAUUGCAAGCGAUGUCUGCAUCAAACUGCCGGACCAUGUACUACAGUGCCUGGGUACAUUGGAUAUUACCGAUGCAAGAUUUGCUCCUGUUCCAUGGGAUGUGAAUUUCCCACGCUUGCUGCACUUGCACCUUAGUCUUCCUGUCGAGAGAGAUCUGCUGGAUUGGAUAGACAGAACAAGGCCCCCCAGUUUAAUGAGCCUUGGCAAGCUAAACCACUUGCAGGAGCUUCAUCUUACCUUUUCUUCACUGUCUACUUUCCAGCAUGUGGCGAAAAACAUGGAAGCUCUGGGUUCUUUAAUCGGAGGUCAUGGCAACCUGAAAACUAUAGCAGUGGCUCAGGCCUCAUCAGUUAAAAAUACCGCGGCUUCGAAAACAUACAUUUCAUGGGAUUGCAUGGAACCUCCCCCCCUUCUCCAGAGAUUUGAAUUCUCGCCCCACAGCAGCUGCAUAUUCUCACAGGUACCUUCGUGGGUUGGAAAAGUUGGCUACCUAUGCAUUUUGAAGAUUGCUGUGAAGGGACUGCCAGCACAUUGUGCUGAUAUUCUCAGAGGAUUGCCGGCACUCGCUGCCCUGUCGCUGUACGUGGAGACGCCGCCUGAUGACAAGAUCAUCUUUGACAAGGCCGGUUUCUCAGUUCUCAAGUACUUCAAGCUUACGUUCAUGCGGGGUAUAGCUUGGGUAAAAUUUGAGGCGGAUGCAAUGCCUAGUCUCUGGAAGCUCAAGCUGGUUUUCGACGCCAUCCCCCCACUGGACCAACAGUGGAAAACAUAUGCACAUAGUACGGCAUUAAUCAACAUCGAUUAUAUGCCAGGCCUUAGAGAGAUAUUCACAAAAUUUAGGGGUGCAGCUGCUGAUCUGGAGUAUGUCUCGAUGAUUGGCGUAGUUAGCAAUCAUCCGAGCAACCCUAUAAUUGACAUGCAAUUAGCAGAUUCUGGUUCCUAUAGCAACAAAAGCACAGAGACAGAAAUAACAACCAAAUGA